rnacentral:rRNA from 1 species
GGUGUUUGCUGCUUUCCUUGUGGCUCGCCUCAAAUGUGUUAGUGCACCUCUUGGUUGGACAUAGAACGGCGUGAUAAGUGUCUUCGCCGGCACCUCGCAAGAGGGUGGCCAAUUGGGAGCUCUGUGCUUUCAAACCGUCUUCGGACAAUCUCUGACAACUUGACCUCAAAUCGAGUAGGACUACCCGCUGAACUUAAGCAUAUCAAUAAGCGGAGGAAAAGAAACUAACAAGGAUUCCCCUAGUAACGGCGAGUGAAGAGGGAAGAGCUCAAAUUUUGAAUCUGGCGUCUUUGGCGUCUGAAUUGUAAUCUAGAGAAGUGUUUUCCGUGAUGGACCGUGCACAAGUCUCCUGGAAUGGAGCGUCAUAGAGGGUGAGAAUCCCGUAUAUGGCACGGACUACCGUUGCUCUGUGAUACACUCUCGACGAGUCGAGUUGUUUGGGAAUGCAGCUCUAAAUGGGUGGUAAAUGCCAUCUAAAGCUAAAUAUUGGCGAGAGACCGAUAGCGAACAAGUACCGUGAGGGAAAGAUGAAAAGCACUUUGGAAAGAGAGUGAAACAGUACGUGAAAUUGUUGAAAGGGAAACGCUUGAAGUCAGUCGCGCCGUUCGGGAUUCAGCCUUGCUUCUGCUCGGUUUACUUCCCGUUGGGUGGGUCAACAUCAGUUUUGGUCGGAGGAGAAAGGCUUGGGGAAGGUGGCAGCAUUCGUGCUGUGUUAUAGCCCCUCGUUGUAUACUUCGACUGGGACUGAGGAUCGCAGCACGCCUUUGGCCGGGGUUCGCCCACGUACGUGCUUAGGAUGUUGGCAUAAUGGCUUUAAGCGACCCGUCUUGAAAUACGGA